UCAAACCAAAUUGAUACUUCA
ensembl:piRNA 21ur-11672 ncRNA